UCCCUGGUGGCCCUGGGCUUGAGUUGAAGCAUAUGGCAUCCAGGGAAAGCUGAUCAACUGGGAGCUGAGUCCUGGAGGAGUGCCAUGACAAUAGGAGCCAAGAAUGUGUCCAAGUCAGAGAAACAUUACCACGUAUUAGACAACAGCCUGUGUUUUCUAACCACCUAUACAAAUACUUGUGGCUCCUUCCCAUGUGAUCUAGGCUGCUGAAGCUUUGAUGCAUUGAGAUGCAGACACAAACAGAUCUCCCCAGAGGGGAUUUAUGACAUUGGCAACUCGAACAUGUCUCAUAGUGGGGAGGGUUUUCAUUCCCACAUCUCUCUUCUGUUCCCACAGUGCUUUCCCACCUGUGAAACAAGGGCCUGGACACGACCAGAGCAUCAAGGAAAAUCAUUGACAACCUACUUGUAACUGGCAUUGUCCUGGACAUCAUCAAAAAGUUCAAAGAAGGGCAUGGCCCUUCCCUUAGCAGGCUCAAGGACUAUCUGGGAGGGUUGGCUGGUGUAUCAAUCAAGGUUCAAUCAGGAAAACACCAUGUUUUAGGGAUAAGAGAUUUCACUAGAAUUAAACCUCACAUAAAAGUGGAAGAAGCUAAAGAAGUGAAGACUUGGAAGGCAAAGUUGGAGGAUCUAAGAAGAGUCACCAACUAGACCUCCUCAUUCACUGGCACGGUAGAAAAUCUGAGCUUGCAGGGAAAUCUAAGAAACCAAGGGCGGGCAGCCUCCCCUUGAGACCACAAACGGGGGCUUGUGGAGAGGGGUUAGAGAAGCUGUGCCUCAGUCACAUCCACCUCUGUAGGUCCCCACUCUGAUGCUGGGCUUUGAACUGCUAUUGGUCAGCGGGCCAGCAGUUUGGAAGAAGGGAA
rnacentral:lncRNA from 1 species